UGCAAGUCGAGCGGAAACGAUGGGAGCUUGCUUCCAGGCGUCGAGCGGCGGACGGGUGAGUAAUGCAUAGGAAUCUGCCCGGUAGUGGGGGAUAACUCGGGGAAACUCGAGCUAAUACCGCAUACGUCCUACGGGAGAAAGUGGGCUUUUGCUCACGCUAUCGGAUGAGCCUAUGUCAGAUUAGCUAGUUGGUGGGGUAAAGGCUCACCAAGGCGACGAUCUGUAGCUGGUCUGAGAGGAUGAUCAGCCACACUGGGACUGAGACACGGCCCAGACUCCUACGGGAGGCAGCAGUGGGGAAUAUUGGACAAUGGGGGCAACCCUGAUCCAGCCAUGCCGCGUGUGUGAAGAAGGCUUUCGGGUUGUAAAGCACUUUCAGCGAGGAGGAAAGCGGUGUUGUUAAUACCAGCAUCGUGUGACGUUACUCGCAGAAGAAGCACCGGCAAACUCCGUGCCAGCAGCCGCGGUAAUACGGAGGGUGCGAGCGUUAAUCGGAAUUACUGGGCGUAAAGCGUGCGUAGGUGGUUAAGUAAGCCAGAUGUGAAAGCCCCGGGCUUAACCUGGGAACGGCAUCUGGAACUGCUUAACUAGAGUGCAGUAGAGGAAGGUAGAAUUCCACGUGUAGCGGUGAAAUGCGUAGAUAUGUGGAGGAAUACCAGUGGCGAAGGCGGCCUUCUGGACUGACACUGACACUGAGGUACGAAAGCGUGGGGAUCAAACAGGAUUAGAUACCCUGGUAGUCCACGCCGUAAACGAUGUCUACUAGCCGUUGGGCUCCUUGAGAGCUUAGUGGCGCAGCUAACGCAAUAAGUAGACCGCCUGGGGAGUACGGCCGCAAGGUUAAAACUCAAAUGAAUUGACGGGGGCCCGCACAAGCGGUGGAGCAUGUGGUUUAAUUCGAUGCAACGCGAAGAACCUUACCUACCCUUGACAUCCAGAGAAGUCGCUAGAGAUAGCUUCGUGCCUUCGGGAACUCUGUGACAGGUGCU
rnacentral:rRNA from 1 species